AAGUAAUCUUGACCCCUGG
rnacentral:piRNA from 1 species